rnacentral:rRNA from 1 species
UACAUGGGGUGCAAACGUUGCUCGGAAUCAUUGGGCGUAAAGCGCGCGUAGGCGGUUGCUUAAGUCGGAUGUGAAAGCCCUCGGCUUAACUGAGGAAGUGCAUCCGAAACUGAGCAGCUAGAGUACGAAAGAGGGUCGCGGAAUUCCCGGUGUAGAGGUGAAAUGCGCAGAUAUCAGGAGGAACACCUAUUGCGAAGGCAGCUCGCUGGGACGUAACUGACGCUGAGACGCGAAAGCGUGGGGAGCAAACAGG